GUGCUUCCAGGCACGGCAGGGCUUGGUCUGGCCACGUGCCGGAGGUUCCCCGCUCAGCGGUGGUGGGGAAUAUUAAUAUUUCCUCUGGCUGCCAAGCUGCUUUUUAGCAGGGGACAGAUACUAUGUAAGGGGAGCCGGCUCCUGGCUUUGUGAACAGCUUCUGCAAGCCAGCCUGGCACCAGCUGGGGUGGGGGCAACAUGCCUGACAAAAGAAUCCAUCCAUGUGUAUGGGGGGCAGCAGAGGUGGACAGGUUCCGAAGCCAUGCCCCAGCUGCUCUGCUUUGGAAGCCUUUGAGGAAGGGGUGUUUUUAUGGGCGGGAGAGGUUUAAUUCUCACACAGAGUAGUCACACUCUCCCCUGGCCUGUGACACAUCGAUAACCUUUGAUGCCUUUCCUUGUUUCCAGGUCUUGUUUUGAAUAGCCUUUCAUGCAAUAGUUCUUUGUUUUUUUCCAGAAGGAUUGCACUGGUACCCGGACCGGAUGGGGAAGUGCUGGCAUCGUCUGUGGACUGUGUUUAGUGCCUGCACUAGCCCUGGAGACCUCAGUCUGCAGGGACAUCUCCUUCAAGAAGGAUGAGAACCUCCUGUGGGAUCAGCUCCUCUCCUGGCAGCAGGUCUCCAGAGGCUACCAGCACUUCAUGUCAUGGAAACGGCACCGCUCGGCCUGCCAGCCUAGGAGUGCUGGGGGGCAGCAGGUGUUCAUUUGCUGUCAAAUAUUAAUUGCUUUGUUUUUGUUGUCAUCA